CUGACUAGUUUGUUAAAAAUCGGCUCCUUAAAGCAGUAAUGCUUUAAAGGCAAAUGGGGAGAAUUGCAAGAACGUCUGAAAAAGCACAUUAAAUAUAAUAGCUAAUAGACUACUUGCAGCGGAGCUUUAUUCGGUAUUAAUUUAAAAUUUUUAAUUUUAAAUUAAAGGAUCAAGAACGUUCAACGACUAACGAGUGAGUAAUACCAACAAUAAGCUUGACACGAGAACCCCACAACCUUUCACAAGGUUGAAGACAUAGUCUAAACACUGUUAACCAGUG
rnacentral:ncRNA from 1 species